CGGCUGUUGACGGGUGCUGUUGUAGUGGUGCCGAGGCCGAUCGAGACUACCAGUCGACCGAAAAGAGAAAAAGGAUCUCCACCUCCAACAUGUUAACAUGGUUUCGGAACCUAAACCGCAUCAAAUCACCAGGAAACGACAGAGUUCCGCCUCCAGCGCCUGCUCCGGACAGAGCGCCUCUCCGACCAAAAGAAUACGAAACGAGAAAACAGCCAAGAAGAAAGGCAAAUUGGUUUCGACCGCUUACAGAACGCCGACCGUACCCGUCUGCACCCGAUGCCAAAGCCAAUACGCCAGUUGGUGGGAGCUGGUUCGUCACGCCGAAACCGAACAUCGGACCGUUCUGUACAGGAAGACCGAAGCCGAUAACGACGAUAAC
rnacentral:lncRNA from 1 species